rnacentral:misc_RNA from 1 species
AAGUCGUAACAAGGUUUCCGUAGGUGAACCUGCGGAAGGAUCAUUAUUGAGUAAACUGGGUUUAGACUGUUGCUGGCUCUGCGGGGCAAUGUGCACGCCUAUUCCUAUUUUUACAACCACCUGUGCACUCUAUGUAGAUCUGGAUAACUUUCGAGGUAAAACUCGGUCUGAGAAAUUGCUGUAUAAUACCAGCUUUUCUUUAUUUCCAGGUCUAUGUUUCAUUAUACUCCAUACAAAGUAUUUGAAUGUAAAAGCUGUACAUGCGUGUACAAAUAAAUCUUACAACUUUCAACAACGGAUCUCUUGGCUCUC